rnacentral:rRNA from 1 species
AUGAAGACCAGGGGGCCCACAACCUUCUCACGAGGGUGGGGGGCGCCCCCCCUAGGGCGCGCCCCCUACCUCGUGGGCCCCCUGGAUGCCCUCCGACGCCAACUCCAACUCUAUAUAUUUGCUUUCGGAGAGAAAAAAAUCAGGGAGAAGAAAUCAUCGCGUUUUACGAUACGGAGCCGCCGCCAAGCCCUAAAACCUCUCGGGAGGGCUGAUCUGGAGUCCGUUCGGGGCUCCGGUGAGGGGGAUUCGUCGCCGUCGUCAUCAUCAACCAUCCUCCAUCACCAAUUUCAUGAUGCUCACCGCUGUGCGUGA